rnacentral:rRNA from 1 species
AUUGAACGCUGGCGGCAGGCCUAACACAUGCAAGUCGAACGAGUGGCGGACGGGUGAGUAAUGUCUGGGAAACUGCCCGAUGGAGGGGGAUAACUACUGGAAACUGUAGCUAAUACCGCAUACCAUCGGAUGUGCCCAGAUGGGAUUAUUUAGUAGGUGGGGGAACGGCUCACCUAGGCGACGAUCCCUAGCUGGUCUGAGAGGAUGACCAGCCACACUGGAACUGAGACACGGUCCAGACUCCUACGGGAGGCAGCAGUGGGGAAUAUUGGACAAUGGGCGAAAGUCUGAUGCAGCCAUGCGGCGUGUAUGAAGAAGGCCUUCGGGUUGUAAAGUACUUUAAGCGAGGAGGCGUUACUCGCAGAAGAAGUACCGGCUAACUCCGUGCCAGCAGCCGCGGUAAUAC